rnacentral:lncRNA from 1 species
GCACGAAGCAAGUCACAUAGCCAAGCAGGAAAGUUAGUGGGAAUAAUGGCAAAGUCACCUGGCAAAGGACAGGAUCGGAGGGAUUCUCCCCUAAGAACGAGUCUUGAAUGCAAUCUACCACAUUCACUGCAAAACUGUUUCUAAUGGGAUGAGGAGAACCUAAAUUGUCAUCAGAAAAAAAGAGAAUGGGGUUACAGCCAGCCAAUGGAAUAGCGGUUUUGGCCCUGGAAGAGAAACCACUGUCUGCUGCAAAGCACCUCAGGAUUCUGCCCACUCUUUCUGCUGCCUCCCCUCCCUCUCAACAUUUUGAAACUGCACCAGGUAUGAAUGCAAAGCAAAUGAGGCCAAAAAUGAUGACCAAGAAUGAGCAAACCCCAUUCAUCUCAUUCUGAUCCCUUGUGGGCUUUGGUUUUAAAUCGCAGACAUACAGACCUCCUCUCGUUUUGUGACACGUUUGGCUGCUUCAUGAGUCAGCAAAUCAAGUGACUAGGACACCGAGUCAAGGUGCCUUUGUGGAGGAGACUGAGCGUGGAAGGGUUCAUUUCACUCACCUUUCUUUCCUUUUAAGUUCAUUGUUUAUCAAAGCACCGCAGAGUCUCUCCCCAUCCCUAGGGGAAAGGAAAGGACCAUUACGGAAAGAAAAUGACACCCAGAUUUUGUUAGCAAAUAUUAGGAAAAUUUUAAAUCAUGGCAAGCAGAAACUACCAGCUGGCCUGGAAGCAGAAAGCCGUGUCGACGUGGGAGCUGGAAUGUAAGAUGACUCCAAAGCCCUUCACUUUGAACAUACGAGUAAAGCAAAAGUCAGAGGAAGAACAUUGAUUUUUAAGUAAUAUAAGGUUCAAUAUAUUUUCCCCUGGUAGAGUUCAAUUUACUGUCAUUUUAGUUUCACUGUGAUAUUUCACUCGAAAAUGUUGGUUUGGGAUUGAAAUGUACACGCGUAUGAAAAAACUUAGAAAAAUCGCACAAGUAUAAUGUAGCCUUUCUAGAUGGUCGCCGCUGUUACACCACGGCCGGCUGUGUUCGUAUGUAUUAAUGGUAAACAGAGGACAUGUCUUCAAAACACGCGCUUAAUUGAAGAAAAUGGGAUUGUUGGAUGCAAGGCCACAAAGGUGCCAGCCUGUAUAUUUUCCAGAAGCACUCAGCCCAAAAUGAAUAUCCUUGCCUGUUUGCGAUGUUACAGUCAACAUUAAUCUGAAUGGUUUUUCAAUGGAAUAAUUUUAAGGUCAUUAGCUGUGAUUUGUGAAGUUGCUCACGGUGGUUAUUAAUAAAGAAAAAUCUCUCGCCCCUCCUCUGACACCUGUCUGGAAU